CCCAGGCGGAGUGCUUAAUGCGUUAGCUGCAGCACUAAGGGGCGGAAACCCCCUAACACUUAGCACUCAUCGUUUACGGCGUGGACUACCAGGGUAUCUAAUCCUGUUUGAUCCCCACGCUUUCGCACAUCAGCGUCAGUUACAGACCAGAAAGUCGCCUUCGCCACUGGUGUUCCUCCAUAUCUCUGCGCAUUUCACCGCUACACAUGGAAUUCCACUUUCCUCUUCUGCACUCAAGUUUUCCAGUUUCCAAUGACCCUCCACGGUUGAGCCGUGGGCUUUCACAUCAGACUUAAAAAACCGCCUACGCGCGCUUUACGCCCAAUAAUUCCGGAUAACGCUUGCCACCUACGUAUUACCGCGGCUGCUGGCACGUAGUUAGCCGUGGCUUUCUGAUUAGGUACCGUCAAGAUGUGCACAGUUACUUACACAUAUGUUCUUCCCUAAUAACAGAGUUUUACGAUCCGAAGACCUUCAUCACUCACGCGGCGUUGCUCCGUCAGGCUUUCGCCCAUUGCGGAAGAUUCCCUACUGCUGCCUCCCGUAGGAGUCUGGACCGUGUCUCAGUUCCAGUGUGGCCGAUCACCCUCUCAGGUCGGCUAUGCAUCGUUGCCUUGGUAAGCCGUUACCUUACCAACUAGCUAAUGCAGCGCGGAUCCAUCUAUAAGUGACAGCAAGACCGUCUUUCACUUUUGAACCAUGCGGUUCAAAAUAUUAUCCGGUAUUAGCUCCGGUUUCCCGAAGUUAUCCCAGUCAUAUAGGUAGGUUAUCCACGUGUUACUCACCCGUCCGCCGCUAACAUCAGAGAAGCAAGCUUCUCGUCCGUUCGCUCGACUUGCAUGUAUUAGGCACGCCGCCAGCGUUCAUCCUGAGCCAGGAUCAAACCCUC
rnacentral:rRNA from 1 species